CACGUAGGGCGCAAGCGUUUGUCCGGAAUUAUUGGGCGUAAAGAGCUCGUAGGCGGUCUGUCGCGUCGGCUGUGAAAUCCCGAGGCUCAACCUCGGGUCUGCAGUCGAUACGGGCAAACUGGAGUGUUGCAGGGGAGACUGGAAUUCCUGGUGUAGCGGUGAAAUGCGCAGAUAUCAGGAGGAACACCGGUGGCGAAGGCGGGUUUCUGGGCAACAACUGACGCUCAUGCACGAAAGCGUGGGGGAGCAAACAGGG
rnacentral:rRNA from 1 species